rnacentral:rRNA from 1 species
GAUGAACGCUGGCGGCGCGCCUAACACAUGCAAGUCGAACGGUUAAAGCACCUUUUAGGUGUGUAUAAAGUGGCGAACGGCUGAGUAACACGUGGGCAACCUGCCCUCCUCUUGGGGAUAGCCUCGGGAAACCGAGGAUAAUACCCGAUACUUCAAUGUGGCCGCAUGACGACAUUGAGAAAGCUUUUGCGGAGAAGGAUGGGCCCGCGGCCUGUUAGCUUGUUGGUUGGGUAGAGGCCUACCUAGGCAAUGAUGGGUAGCUGGGUUGAGAGACCGACCAGCCAGAUUGGGACUGAGACUCGGCCCAGACUCCUACGGGAGGCAGAAGUGGGGAAUCUUGAACAAUGGGCGCAAGCCGGAUGCAGCGACGCCGCGUGCGGGACGAAGGCCUUCGGGUUGUAAACCGCUUUCAGCAGGGACGAGGCGAUAAGUGACGGUACCUGCAGAAGAAGCCCCGGCUAACUACGUG